rnacentral:misc_RNA from 1 species
CGGCCGGGGUUUUCUCCAAUGUGCGCAGGCGCUCUUGUCAACGUAACCUCUUUCCCAGGAUCCUUUUCGCUUCUGGUCUCAAAGUUCAAUCCCGUUCCCAGAUCACUGUGCCCUCGGUUGACCUUCACGGACCGGACGCCUUCAAAGAUGGCCGCUCCUUUGUGCAUUUGUGCGCAAAUUGUAGUUUUUCCUCAGGGACGAUGCGAGGAAGGACCUUUCGAUGUUUUUGUAGAGAAAGGCUUGAUUGCAGCGAUUGACAGGUGCACAGGAAAUUGUGGCAGUGAAAAAUUAACUUGUCAUUUUCUCACCCCUGGGUUUGUGGAUAUUCACAACCAUGGAAUGGGUACAAUCCCAUGACUGAUUAAUUUACAGGAGGAGCUGAUGAUGUUGCAGAGUUUUGGUUUAAUCCAGAUUUUACAAGAGCUAAGCUAGCUCAAAGUGGAACAACAUCGUUUCUGGCUACAGUUGUCUUCCCAGAACAUCCUCUGAGCAAUAAAAUGGGCAAACUUUUAAACACCCUGGAAAGCCAUGUAGGACUUGUUGACUGAGAAGGGGCUGUAUUAGAAGGGAUCCAUUCAGAGGGACCUAUCAUCACAGACCUUGGUGGUCUUCCAGGAAGUUACAAUGAAAUGACUUCUGAUGAGUUUAAACGGAUCCUUGAAAAGAUGCAUCAUUUAAAAAUCAUGACAAUCAGUCCUCACCCAGAAGCAUCUAAUGAUUACAAGAGAAUAAAAUGUCUUCUGAAAAGGGGUGUGGUACCAGCUCUUGGUCAUGAUAAACAAGCCACUGAGGAUGAAAUCCUAGCUGCUUUGUCUCUGGGUGAAACACAACAGUUUCAUUUGACACACCUUUUCAAUGUCUGCUCGUUCCAUCACAGAUCUCCAGGUCUGGUCAACUUUAGAGUCCUGGAUGAAUUGCCAAACCUUCCAAAGUACAGAGGCAUAAAAACUCCCACAGUGGAAAUCAUUGGAGAUUUAGCUCAUGUAGAUCCCCUAACAAUAUCAUUGCUGCUGAAGAGCCGUCACUUUAAGAACAUUGCUUUCAUAACUGACUUCCUGGAGCAAUUAUCAAGUAUGGAAACAGACAAAUGCAAGUGUCUCCCAGUGGUCGCACCAUGUCAAUUAUUGGAACAAACACCUUGGCUGGUAGUUGCAGCACUCUGCUUGAUACAUUUCAUUUGCUGUUGAACAUUUUUGGAGUCCCCAUAGGUAAAGCCGUGGCAAUGUUAUCAGAGAAUCCUGCCAGAAUUGCCAAGAUUUCCCACACUGGAAGAACAGAAGUGGGCAAAAGGGCAGAUCUGCUUUUAUUUAAUGAAAAUUUAAGCCUUCUAAGAACUGUAGUUUAUGGAAAAGUUGUUUUUCAAACAAACUAAAUCAGACUUUCACAAGAAAAUGGCUACAUAACCCACGCAUUUGGCAAUUUCUGUUUGCUCUUAAGGUCGGCACACACGAGGGGACUGCAACUAGUCCCCUGAAGAGUUUACACAAAGGGACUGGUCGC